rnacentral:rRNA from 2 species
GAGAAGCUUGCUUCUCUGAUGUUAGCGGCGGACGGGUGAGUAACACGUGGAUAACCUACCUAUAAGACUGGGAUAACUUCGGGAAACCGGAGCUAAUACCGGAUAAUAUUUUGAACCGCAUGGUUCAAAAGUGAAAGACGGUCUUGCUGUCACUUAUAGAUGGAUCCGCGCUGCAUUAGCUAGUUGGUAAGGUAACGGCUUACCAAGGCAACGAUGCAUAGCCGACCUGAGAGGGUGAUCGGCCACACUGGAACUGAGACACGGUCCAGACUCCUACGGGAGGCAGCAGUAGGGAAUCUUCCGCAAUGGGCGAAAGCCUGACGGAGCAACGCCGCGUGAGUGAUGAAGGUCUUCGGAUCGUAAAACUCUGUUAUUAGGGAAGAACAUAUGUGUAAGUAACUGUGCACAUCUUGACGGUACCUAAUCAGAAAGCCACGGCUAACUACGUGCCAGCAGCCGCGGUAAUACGUAGGUGGCAAGCGUUAUCCGGAAUUAUUGGGCGUAAAGCGCGCGUAGGCGGUUUUUUAAGUCUGAUGUGAAAGCCCACGGCUCAACCGUGGAGGGUCAUUGGAAACUGGAAAACUUGAGUGCAGAAGAGGAAAGUGGAAUUCCAUGUGUAGCGGUGAAAUGCGCAGAGAUAUGGAGGAACACCAGUGGCGAAGGCGACUUUCUGGUCUGUAACUGACGCUGAUGUGCGAAAGCGUGGGGAUCAAACAGGAUUAGAUACCCUGGUAGUCCACGCCGUAAACGAUGAGUGCUAAGUGUUAGGGGGUUUCCGCCCCUUAGUGCUGCAGCUAACGCAUUAAGCACUCCGCCUGGGGAGUACGACCGCAAGGUUGAAACUCAAAGGAAUUGACGGGGACCCGCACAAGCGGUGGAGCAUGUGGUUUAAUUCGAAGCAACGCGAAGAACCUUACCAAAUCUUGACAUCCUUUGACAACUCUAGAGAUAGAGCUUUCCCCUUCGGGGGACAAAGUGACAGGUGGUGCAUGGUUGUCGUCAGCUCGUGUCGUGAGAUGUUGGGUUAAGUCCCGCAACGAGCGCAACCCUUAAGCUUAGUUGCCAUCAUUAAGUUGGGCACUCUAAGUUGACUGCCGGUGACAAACCGGAGGAAGGUGGGGAUGACGUCAAAUCAUCAUGCCCCUUAUGAUUUGGGCUACACACGUGCUACAAUGGACAAUACAAAGGGCAGCGAAACCGCGAGGUCAAGCAAAUCCCAUAAAGUUGUUCUCAGUUCGGAUUGUAGUCUGCAACUCGACUACAUGAAGCUGGAAUCGCUAGUAAUCGUAGAUCAGCAUGCUACGGUGAAUACGUUCCCGGGUCUUGUACACACCGCCCGUCACACCACGAGAGUUUGUAACACCCGAAGCCGGUGGAGUAACCUUUUAGGAGCUAGCCGUCGAAGGUGGGACAAAUGAUUGGGGUGAAGUCGUAACAAGGUAGCCGUAUCGGAAGGUGCGGCUGGAUCACCUCCUUUCU